rnacentral:rRNA from 1 species
GACGAACGCUGGCGGCGUGCUUAACACAUGCAAGUCGAACGGAAAGGCCCUGCUUUUGUGGGGUGCUUGAGUGGCGAACGGGUGAGUAACACGUGAGUAACCUGCCCUUGACUUUGGGAUAACUUCAGGAAACUGGGGCUAAUACCGGAUAGGAGCUCCUGCUGCAUGGUGGGGGUUGGAAAGUUUCGGCGGUUGGGGAUGGACUCGCGGCUUAUCAGCUUGUUGGUGGGGUAGUGGCUUACCAAGGCUUUGACGGGUAGCCGGCCUGAGAGGGUGACCGGCCACAUUGGGACUGAGAUACGGCCCAGACUCCUACGGGAGGCAGCAGUGGGGAAUAUGGCACAAUGGGCGGAAGCCUGAUGCAGCAACGCCGCGUGCGGGAUGACGGCCUUCGGGUUGUAAACCGCUUUCGCCUGUGACGAAGCGUGAGUGACGGUAAUGGGUAAAGAAGCACCGGCUAACUACGUG